UACAUGGGGUGCAGACGUUGCUCGGAAUUAUUGGGCGUAAAGCGCGCGUAGGCGGUUAUCUAAGUCGGAUGUGAAAGCCCUCGGCUUAACUGAGGAAGUGCACCCGAAACUGGAUAGCUAGAGUACGAAAGAGGGUCGCGGAAUUCCCGGUGUAGAGGUGAAAUUCGUAGAUAUCGGGAGGAACACCGGUGGCGAAGGCGGCGACCUGGGUCGAGACUGACGCUGAGGCGCGAAAGCGUGGGUAGCAAACAGG
rnacentral:rRNA from 1 species